GAAAAGAAGACUGUCCAAGUCAUUACCAGUAUGUGCAUUCUUAUGUGUAAGUUGGAAAUAAUUAUUGAGUAAAGAAUUGAAUCCUGAUUCCAUAAUUUAAAGGAAUAUAUACACUUGAAAAACUUACUUAGUUUUAUGGAUUUAUCGGAUUAUAUGGAUUGUAUAUAUUCCUUUAACAUUUACUGCCUUUUUUUAGUAUAAACAUUUAAAUAUGGCAUUGAUUUUUGUGUUUUUUUCAAAUUCCUAUUCUUCAGAGCUGCUGACAAAUUUUAGUUUGUGUUGCUAGAUUUUGGAUUGAUAUUGUAGAUCAUACAUAUUUAUUCAUGGUAAAAUCUUCCCAACGUCAAUUUUUCUUAUGAUAGGUGGAAAUUUUCUGUAAUUUUGGUUUGAUAAAUAGUUUCUCACGUUGACAGUACAGUACAGCACAGCAAACCUCCUUUAAUGAAAAGAUUUGAAACUUAUGGACAUAAUUAUUUUUACUUUUUAAUUUAUUUAAAGGAAAAAGAGCCAGAAUUGUCUAUAAAUAAAGAGAAGUAAGCAAAUUAGUUUGUAUUGGAAUAUUGUUCUUGUUUAAAAUUGUUCACAUUUAUGCAUGGUUUUAAAAUCCAUGGUUCAAUCCUGGGCAGGAUAAGAUCCUCGGGAUUUUCCAACCCAGCUCCACUUGUAAGUGGCACAGGCCGAAGGGGCUGGCAAGGAAAAGAGUAACUUGCCCCGUUUGUAACGAGGAUUUCGAAAGGAAUGCAAUUGAAGACCAUGCUGCCUUAUGUAUUAGCCUUAUAGAAGAUGAGGAAGAACUUGUCAAAGGACUGUGUAAUGAAGCUGAUGUAGAAAGAUUAUGCCAGUGUGCCAGUGCUGAUAAUCACGCUGAAGAAUGCCACAUGAUGAGAUGUGUGAAUGCAACAGUGAUGGAAAUGUCUGAAGUGACAAAUCCUGAAUACAUUAUUGACAAGUACAUAUCGAAGUUCAUGAGAGGAAGACCGCUAGAUAUAACUGACGAAUAUGGGGUAGUGGAAGGAAAGACGGUGGAUAUUUUUGUAUCAAGGGAUAGAAUACUAGAAGAUGCCUUUUCGGAAUUGAAGGAAGCUGGGGAUAUGAGCUUCCCAAUAGAAGUUACUUUUACUGGAGAAAAAGCACUGGACUUAGGUGGACCCAGGAAGGAGUUUCUAACAUCAUGUGUACACAAUUUAAAUGACCAAUUCAUAAAGGAUGGCAUAUUAAUAACAGAAAAGGACAUUGGAAAAGACUUGUUUAUAAAGUAUGAGAAAGAAAAUGCAUUUCGAACAGCUGGUUUGUUACUUGGCUUGUCACUUCUACAAGGUGGUCUCUUACCUACACUUUUUAAAAAUCCAGAUGUGUUUUUAUCUCCCUCGAAUAAGGGAGAAGAACUCUUCAGUGAAGGCUUAGAUAAAAUAGGACUUCUACAGCUUUGCUCUAAGAAGAAAGAGAUUCCAAGGGCUAUUUGAUGUCAACAGUCCCAAAGUGAAUAUUCUCACGUAUUCAAGCUUAAUAAAGUUAUUUGAAGUUAAUUUCUCUGAAGAGGGGUCUAAUGGCAGACAGUUUGAAAUGGCCGUUUAUAGGUUGUUUCUUGAUUAUGUGAAAGAGGUUGCAGGUAUUCAAAGUUUGUUGCAGUUUGUGACUGGAUCUACAGAAGUUCCGAUUCUCGGGUAUAAACUUCCUCCUAAAAUUUGCUUUGUUGACACUGAAUCAAUUAUCCCUACAAGUAGCACUU